rnacentral:rRNA from 1 species
GGAUGAAGCCCUUCGGGGUGGAUUAGUGGCGAACGGGUGAGUAACACGUGGGCAAUCUGCCCUUCACUCUGGGACAAGCCCUGGAAACGGGGUCUAAUACCGGAUACCACUCCUGCCUGCAUGGGCGGGAGUUGAAAGCUCCGGCGGUGAAGGAUGAGCCCGCGGCCUAUCAGCUUGUUGGUGGGGUAAUGGCCCACCAAGGCGACGACGGGUAGCCGGCCUGAGAGGGCGACCGGCCACACUGGGACUGAGACACGGCCCAGACUCCUACGGGAGGCAGCAGUGGGGAAUAUUGCACAAUGGGCGAAAGCCUGAUGCAGCGACGCCGCGUGAGGGAUGACGGCCUUCGG